GAUGAACGCUGGCGGCGUGCCUAAUACAUGCAAGUCGAGCGAACAGACGAGGAGCUUGCUCCUCUGACGUUAGCGGCGGACGGGUGAGUAACACGUGGAUAACCUACCUAUAAGACUGGGAUAACUUCGGGAAACCGGAGCUAAUACCGGAUAAUAUAUUGAACCGCAUGGUUCAAUAGUGAAAGACGGUUUUGCUGUCCCUUAUAGAUGGAUCCGCGCCGCAUUAGCUAGUUGGUAAGGUAACGGCUUACCAAGGCCACGAUGCGUAGCCGACCUGAGAGGGUGAUCGGCCACACUGGAACUGAGACACGGUCCAGACUCCGACGGGAGGCAGAAGUAGGGAAUCUUCCGCAAUGGGCGAAAGCUUGGCGGAGCAACGCCGCGUGAGUGAUGAAGGUCUUCGGAUCGUAAAACUCUGUUAUGAGGGAAGAACAAAUGUGUAAGUAACUAUGCACGUCUUGACGGUACCUAAUCAGAAAGCCACGGCUAACUACGUG
rnacentral:rRNA from 1 species